UAUUAGUGAGGAACAUGACCGGGCAAGUCCAUAAUGUGAACCCACGCCCCUGGAGUUUCUCAUUUGGUGAAAUAAAUUUGCAAAUGUGAAUAUAAUUCCGCAGAAGCUGGAGGAGGCUCUAAAAUCACAGCUUUCACUUUCAAUCAGUGCUUUAAAUCAGUGACAAAUAUCUGACACAUGAAGUGAGGAAAACACAUUUUAAACAGCAUAACCUGCAGCACAGAUGGAGCUCAUGUGGAAUUUAGAUUCGCCAAACAUUUUGAGGAAUAGGUUCAUCCAAGAGAGAAAAUGCCAGAAGUUAAAAUGGCAAACAGACCUAAUGGCCUAUUUUUUUUAAUCAACUCCCCUUCCUCAGGAUCAGCCAUGUUUCAGUUUCCAACCACACCACAUCCCAGACUUUUUCAGAAAUGAAUUAAUACACCGAGGGCCUGUCCUAAUAGGAACAAAACAACAUGUAAACAUGGCUCCAAACAGGCAGCAGGCUACACAAAGGCCUAGAAAAUGCUCUCCUGUGGAGAUAGUGUUGAACUUCUGUUAUUUUCGACGCAGAUUUGCUCGGGAUUAUUAUAAUGCACUGUAAUAGCACAAGAUCAACUUUGCAAUAGGGUCAGGGAUUUACUGCAUAUACUGAACAAGAAGGAGAAAAUGAAUCCUUUUAAACAAAUAGACCACUUUUUUAAAUCAAAUACAAUUCAACGAAAGGAGAAACUGAAGAGAGAGAAUGAAUGAAAUACAGAGCAGAAAUGUGGAUGCUCUAAUUAUGGCCUUUAUGUGGGUGCAGGGCCAUUAGAAUAAUAAGGCCGAUGUGGGAAAAGGGGGCCUUUUAAUUGUCAUCUAAUUUAAAAUGGUAACAAUUUGUCAUCACACGGACAACGAAUUAAAACCUGAAAAAAAAAUAUUUUUCAGAACAAAUACGGACAUCUCUGUGGAAUGAAGCGCUCGAGCCAAGUAUGGCCCAUGAAAAACAGCUGCAAUUAGCAAAAGCUGCACAAUGAGAGCACCGAGAUAACCGAAAACACAAGAACCCCGCGCAAAACUUUGCAGGAAUGACACAUUUUCGGAGGAAAUUUGUUUCAAAAUUGGUGAAAAAUGUGUGUAAUUGCAGGCCGGUACAUGUUUUCAUUUCUCUCUCACCCUCCCUCUGUAUUUGCACCUCAUUCUCCCUAUUCAGCCAUUUUACAUAUUCAUAACCAGAGUUGGUAAUGCGAAAACAAUCCGAGCUAUCAGCAGCAUUCAAGGCUGCACGAGCCACCACAGAAAUGCCACAAAACAGUCCGAAAAAAUCACUUUACGCAUUUACUUCCACUAUUUUUCUACCUGUUCACCUCAAGUGCGUUUAAACAUUUUGAUUCAAACAAUCAUUUUCAAUCAAUUCUCCAUCACAAGACAUCGGAUGAUACAUCAAAGCACGAGCCACAAACACCAUCCACAGCAACACACUCAUCAAUUUCGAUUCAUUUUCACUUUUCAUUCAACUUGAAAAGAGAAUGACUUCAGCAGUCAGAGCGCAUAAGGAGAUAUAUCUCCAGUAUUUCUUUUUCUCUUACCUUCUUGGAGAGAGUACAGCAGGAGUAAAGUUACAAGCCACAUGCCAUAAAUAGCAGGUAUAUUUUUCAGGAAUAUUUGGCAAUCCUGGCAAGUGUGAGGCGCGGUUUUUUGGCCAGGCGGGUCUCCGUGCUGGACUGGCGACUGUGCUCCCCGGAGGUCUCUCCAGCCCUGCUGCCCCGCUAAGCGUGGAGGGGAAAUGAGAGGCGCCUCAGCCCCGCCCAUGUCCCUCCUCUCCUCCCAAGACUACUGUGCAUACAAAUCCAUCCUCCCUUCAAUAAUCAAACACCGCAGAAAGAUCCCGGGCCACAGCGGAGCGGAGGGUUGGUGUGAGCUGAGCACUGGAUUUGGGUCCAGUUGUGUCCAAAGUGCUGGUGUGAGGGCGCGCUGGAGCUACGCAGACAGAUCUGUUGGCACCUUGGAGAGCGCACCCACCUGUGCGCCCCUGAUGACAGCGUUUCUCUGCGCAAUUUGGAUCUACAAAAGCCUCUUAUACUGCUGAGAAGACUCUAAAUAUGAAUUAGCACCUUUUCCUUUAAGUUUGGGCAUUUAUGACAGGAACAAGGAGCUGCACCACACACUAAUGACUGUUUCUCUUUGUCUUUAGGAGCCAUGAAACGUGCGUAGACAUUUGCGCACAGAAAUGCACUGCAGAUAGAAAGGAGGAGGAGAGAGAGUGGUAGGGUGUGGGGCAUGACACUCUCCCAGGGCAGGUAAAACACAGCAGCCUGCUGUCUGUUGCGCCUGGUGAGAACAGCGAGAACAGCUCCCCUGCAUAAUAAGCAUAAAUUAGCACGAGGACACUCCCAGUUCAUGGAAUAUUUAAAGUCACUGUGGAUGCCAGUGUGGAUCUGCGAGAGCCGCACAUCCUUCAGGCGAAAGAAGAACAAAACAAAACAAUUUUAUUGUUGGAAUAUUUUCUGCAGGAGCGAAAAAAGUGUGUGACCGAGAAAGCCUUUAAAGAGAACCAAGAGAGAAAACCAAAAAUGCACAGUUUAUUUUACUACAAUGUCUGAAAUUAAAUGUUUGUUUGUGGUGUUGUGUUAUGUUUUUGUUUUUUAUUAUUCAUAGCAUCAAACAUCUCGACGCUUCCAAUGACAGGGCAAGAGCUUAUAGCAAAUUCCCUUCUAAUUAUAGAGAGGUAUAAUAAACCACUACUGAGUUUAUUAACUGUAACCAAAAUACAAUUAAACCUAAAUAAAUCUAACAUUAAUUCAUUUUUAAAAAUCUUCUAGCCAUUUCUCAGGCUUACAUAUCCUGAGUGAAAGUUUCCCACUCCCAUACUAUCUCAGAACACCUGAACAUGAGC